AGUGAACGCUGGCGGUAGGCCUAACACAUGCAAGUCGAACGGCAGCACAGUAAGAGCUUGCUCUUACGGGUGGCGAGUGGCGGACGGGUGAGGAAUACAUCGGAAUCUACUUUUUCGUGGGGGAUAACGUAGGGAACCUUACGCUAAUACCGCAUACGACCUACGGGUGAAAGCAGGGGACCUUCGGACCUUGCGCGAUUGAAUGAGCCGAUGUCGGAUUAGCUAGUUGGCGGGGUAAAGGCCCACCAAGGCGACGAUCCGUAGCUGGUCUGAGAGGAUGAUCAGCCACACUGGAACUGAGACACGGUCCAGACUCCUACGGGAGGCAGCAGUGGGGAAUAUUGGACAAUGGGCGCAAGCCUGAUCCAGCCAUACCGCGUGGGUGAAGAAGGCCUUCGGGUUGUAAAGCCCUUUUGUUGGGAAAGAAAAGCAGCAGGUUAAUACCCCGCUGUUCCGACGGUACCCAAAGAAUAAGCACCGGCUAACUUCGUG
rnacentral:rRNA from 1 species